UAUUUCAUUACAAUGAAAGCAAUGUCAAUUCGCUUAUACUCAGUGCCCUGUGGCAGCAUCCUUAAUAUUUUACUCACACCCGCCUCAAAACUCCCACUGAUUCAUCCCAAGGAAGUGUGCGCUGGAUGCUAAGUAAGGACUUUGGUAUUUGGCUGCCAGUGUUAGAGUUCAUCUGUCCCUUUGUAAAAAGUGCAUGCGUAGAAGGAACUGUGCGGACACUGAAUGUUAGUGAAGUGCAAGGCUAAGACCAGCAGUUACACCUGCACACGCUUGACUUUUAAGGGCCACAGGAUCCCAGAAGCUGAAACUGUAGAUCACUUUUUACUUGAACUUAAAUCAGAUAAGCAAACUAUUUUAAUAAUAGUAUUUCAAUAAUGGACAACAUCCACAGGAACAGGAGAAAAGAAAGAGGAAAUACAACUGGUCUGACUGUAUCUAACAUGGCAAGAACAUCAGAUGGCAGAUGUUCACAGAAUUAAUGAAAGCAGUUAACAAGCAAGUAUUCAUCAGUCCGAUACAAACUGGGACCAACAAGCCCAUCACACAAGGAAGCAGGCAUCCAUGUUUCUCCCAGUCCUUGCUCAAAGCUCAGACAGCUGGGUCUUUCAUUGACAAGUGAAGGCAGAGUCAGCAGCAGUCACUUGUCUGAACCGUUUGUUCUGUUCUCCACAUUC